UAUCAAGCAAGAGCUUCGUGGUUUCCCAUUCUGUUAGCAAGAGGAACUUCUACUGAAAGAUUCUAUAUUCUCAAGAGUUCUUCUGACAUUUAUGUUGACAUGUUGGUGGAAGGAGAGAAAAGUCGAGCAUUGUCUAAAGGGUUAUUGCAAUGCUACUAUACUAAAGGAAGAAUAAUUUAUACAGUAUUUUCAAUACCCAAGAAGAGCAAUUAAAGACACCAAUUUAGCAGCAAGAUAGGUUGUUCAUAACCAAAUGAGACUAAAAUUAACUAUGGCAGCUAAAUACUCCCAAGUAAAGUAUUAAGACAGUGCAUCGGAAUUCCUUCAAUCUCAUCAUUUUUGCAAUAUUGAUGAUGUACAGGGGUAACUAAAUACAGGUAUGCAAGUGCAAGCUGCAUUAUUGCAAGUGUCAGUAAUGAGUUACAGUUGUGAUAAUAAGAUGAGUCAAAGCACCUG